ensembl:lncRNA
UGUAUAUAUAUAUAUAUAUAUAUAUAUAUAUAUAUAUAACUUGUAAUACAAUUUUUAUAUAAUUGUAAACGUACUAAUUCAUAUCUUUAUGACUGAUGUUCGUAGUUUUAGGUUAACAUGGAUUAAACAAAAUCUACACAUAAUGCAUUUGAAAAGUAGCAAAAAUAAAUUAUGAAGGCAAGGCAGAGUGAAAAGGUCACGUUGUUUUUUGUGUUUUUUUUUUUUUUUUAUGAAAGUGUGAUAUUUUUGAUUAAUAUCAUAAUAUAACAUUGGAUCACUAGUGUGGGGUAGCAUGUUCCUCGUGAAGGAUGAGACAGUCUGGUAAAUAAAUGCACGUGUGUUGAUUGGACAUCAGCGGGAACAUCCUCUUAAAUGACAAGACCUUAAACCAAUGAGAAACACGGAUCGCCGCCAGCGCUGUUUGUUAUGUUUUGAGGUAAAUUGUACUAUAAGAGAACAACCUUUAAUACUAAUAAACGUUAAAAUACACGAAUGAAAUAUCCUUUUCUAUAUCCUAAUUUUUAGAUAAAUGUAUAUAUUUUUUAAUCUAAACAGCAGUUGUGCGUUUGAGUUGACAUGCACAUUAGUCCCGCCCAAGGGAGCCAACGAGCCAAUAAGAAACACCGUUAGGCUGACGUCUGCGCAUGCUAGAAGAAGUAGGCAGGAAGUUCAUCACGCAGUGAACGCAUCUGUCUGGGCUCACGCGACACUGGUAUUAGAACUUAAAACCAGCAUAAAAACAAUGAUCGCGUUGAAGUGCUAUCUCUCUCUUCCAGUGGUGGCAGGGGCAUUAUUAGUGGGCCUCCCUUACAGUGUCUCUCUUGUUGCCCAGUGGCUUUAUGGCUGGCCCAAUAAACCAGGGUACCAAAAAUAUAUAGAGGCUCUCAAACCAAGGUGACAUAGCAUUAACAUUUUGAUGUUACUCUUCUUUUAUUGUUGGCUUUUUAAUGAUGCAGAUGUUUCUUGCACUCCCUGCAGGCGCAUAUACUGCCUUACAAGAGCCGUGCUAGAGAUGCUGAAAUAUCUGCAGUAUGGCAAACUGUACUUUCAGUGGAAACUGUGGUACAGUAAUGACAAAAAUAACAAGCACUAUGUGAAAGGCAUAACCUUUGGUCGGCGAGGGAACAAACUAGAUUUAUACUAUUCACCAAACAUGGGCCAUUCUGAUGCUGCUCCUGUACCAGUGGUUGUAUUUGUGUACGGAGGUGCCUGGGGGUCAGGAGACCGCUCCAUUUACUGUCUGUUAGCAUUACAAAUGGCAAAAGAGCUUAAUGCCUCUGUAAUUUGUCCAGAUUAUUCCAUAUAUCCAAAGGGAAAUGUUUUAAAUAUGGUUCAAGACAUUACUGACAGUUUGCUGUGGGUGAGAGAAAAGGGACAAACAUUCAAUCUUGAUCAAGACAACGUAAUAUUAAUAGGUCAUUCAGCAGGGGCUCAUCUGUGUGCCCUUACCACGCUGUUUCUGGUGAACAAUGCAGAAGAACUGUUCCUUGAGACCAACGAACAGAGAGAUCUCGUAUCUGCCAUUAAAGGAAUCAUCGGUCUGAGUGGCGUUUACAGUAUAAUGGAUCAUUAUAAGCAUGAGAAAAUGAGGGCUGUUGAAUAUGUGUCAACUAUGCACAAAGCUAUGGAUGGUGUGGAGAACUUUGAUUAUUAUUCGCCGUCAUCGUUACUCAAGAAACUGAAUGAGGAUCAGUUGAAAAGAGUUCCUCCAGUGGUUUUGCUCCAUGGAACCAAUGACAUCAUAGUUCCUGUGCAAUCAUCAGUGAAGUUCUCCGAGCUCCUCACCGCUCUUUCUAUCAGGAUGUCUCUCUAUCUCAUACCUAAAAUGAACCACACUGAGAUGGUCACUGACCUUAUGGCUCCAGACAGGCACUUUUACCACACUGUUUAUGGCUGUAUUAAACAGGAGUACAGUAAAUUUCAAGGUUAUGUUGAUUAAUAUUUAUCAUCCAAUUCAGUACUAAUAUCAUUUUCCAGUAUGCCAGACAGUGAUUACAUGUUAUUUAUGAUUUACUGUAAGUUUACAUUUAAAGGGGUGGUUAACAGUUUUUUUUCUAGGCUUGAUUGUGUUUAUGGGGUGCAGUUUAACAUGUGUUCAUGCUUUGUUCAUCAACUUUGCAGAUAUUGUUUAUGCUCAAACAGCAACAUUGUACACUAACUAACGUUAAAAACUUGAAAUCGCAAUCAACCACCUCUUUAAGUUCUAAUGAUUUGUGUUCUUCUGAAAUGUUUAAUUUUCAAUCAAAAAUGUGUUCAAUAACCAUUUAUACAAGACGGCAAGGUGAAAGAAAAUAUUAUCCCUGUGUUUGUUAUCUGUUAAUACAUUCUGUUAAUGUUCAAUGAAAUGUAAAUAAGAAGAAAUCGUUCCAAUUAAGACAGAAAUAUACAAAUAUACAACAUAUUUUCGUGUUUGAAAUGUAAUACGGAUGGAGAAAUUCUUAUUUUGCAUUUUUAUAACUUGUGUAAAAUCUUCCAUAAUAUAUUUAUUCAAGCCAUACAUAAAUGUUUCUCUUUGUGUCCUAAUUACAGAAUUAGUCACUUGGCUAUUGAAGUUCUUCUGUUUGUUACAUAUUCACAGUUCAUACAGUUCAUGUUCAUCAUAUAUUACAUUAAAUAACAUAAGCUUCAGCUGUGCAUGCUAUAGAAAUAUUAUUGAUUAAUGUUUGCUUUUGUCAUUAUUAGAAUAGAAUGUUAAUACAAAGAACACAUUAAUGUGAAUAUUUAGGUGUUGACCUUGAACCACUGAAUAUUUUGCCUCAUAAGUAAACUGCUUUAUGUUGGGGGCAUAUGCUUAAAACAUUUAUCUUAGAAAUAUAAUUGAGUUGAAAUGGAAAAAAAAAAAAUAGCACACAAAGGCAAAGCACAGGUAUGAUCUAUUACUGAGAAACGUAUUGAAUAUACAUGCAUAAUAAGUCAAUACAUUCAUAUAUUCAUUGGACUGAAACUGUAACUAACGUCCACAUCAGCAUCAUGUAAAAUUGGCAUCCCUUUCUUCUUUUACAUUAAAUACACUAUAAAUACUGCCAGAUUGACUUUCUAUUAUUAUUACCUUGCUGAGCAGAGACAAAAACGACCCUCCAAAUGAAACGGGCAAAUGCGUCGUAAUGGCCAGCAGGUGUCGCUGUUUCCCGUGUAAUCGAAGUACUACAGCGAGCCCUGUGAGGCAGCGUCUCCCACACCGCUGAGAUGAAGCAGAGCUGGAGCUGGGACGAGCUCGAGCCUGUGUUGUUUGGGAUGUCGAGGAUUAAAUAUGGCCACUAGCUAGCUGAUCUAACAGAACUAGUAUCCGCUUCACAAAGCGCUGGCAUCACCCGUUAACAAUGGCUGGGAAGAGCGCAGGAAGAUCUCUUUAGAGCGGCUCCCAGUGAAGCUUGAAGACGUCGGCUGGUCUGGUGAGUUCUCAUGGAUUUGCGGAUACACUGGAGACAUGCAAAACACAUACACAUUGCCCACUGGCGCUAGCUACCUUCCUUCAAAAUACAGCUCCCUCUCCCCGGUUUUACGUCUCUCUAGAAAUGUCAAGAUGUUAUUCGGUUUAUAGAAAUGAUAUUCUAAGCAGUCGAGUUUAGUGAAAAGGAAACGCUCAGCUCGGCGUGUGUUGGUUGUGUAGCCGGGGCUAGCUGUGGCGAGGACUCCGCUAGCCUGUUAGCUGCAGGAGAAUAAUCACUGAUGGGCAGACAAUUCACAAAUACGAUCCUUUAUUAUCACAGACCUCGAGUUAACCAUAUGCGUGAUUAUCGUUACUUAUUUCGAGAUUAUUUAGGCGAUGUCUGGUGAGCUGUAACGUUAAUUGUCUUGUAAGAUCGCACUGUCACUGAAGAUAUCGCUAUUGAAUUUAUUAGUGGUUCCUGUCAAUAAAUAAAUAAUACAUAUAAUAAUUCUGAGUAGU